UUAUCGCUUCACUCAGAAUCUAAAAUACAAAAACGCAUCAUAAUAAAACUAAACAGUAGACCUCUUUACUAUGCUCCAAAUCUAAAACAAAUAAAUGUAAGUCAAUCUCGGUCACAAAAAACUGUAUCCCAAACAUAUAUCUUUUACCUGCAAAACACAAUGAAGAAGAAAUGGAAAAUAAAAUUCAAAUGUGCAAAAGAUAAUUUAGCAAACAUGUGAUGUAAGUACCUGCAUUAAAUAAAUUUGUAACCGAUAUUUAUAAAUAAUUAAUUUGUCACAAGUUCUAUCUACAGACUUCAUAGGCAAAAAUACCUAUAAUAUGAAAUUAUUUUAAAUUAAAUUUUCUUAACUUAUUUUAGGUAUGCUAUACAAUUUUGAUUUCUAGCUACAAUAUAAUAAUAAGAUACAAUUAAUUGUAUGAUAAUUAGGGU